rnacentral:rRNA from 1 species
UCGGACCAAAGAUUUAUCGCCCAGGGAUGAGCCCGCGUAGGAUUAGCUAGUUGGUGAGGUAAUGGCUCACCAAGGCGACGAUCCUUAGCUGGUCUGAGAGGAUGAUCAGCCACACUGGGACUGAGACACGGCCCAGACUCCUACGGGAGGCAGCAGUGGGGAAUAUUGGACAAUGGGCGAAAGCCUGAUCCAGCAAUGCCGCGUGAGUGAUGAAGGCCUUAGGGUUGUAAAGCUCUUUUACCCGGGAUGAUAAUGACAGUACCGGGAGAAUAAGCCCCGGCUAACUCCGUGCCAGCAGCCGCGGUAAUACGGAGGGGGCUAGCGUUGUUCGGAAUUACUGGGCGUAAAGCGCGCGUAGGCGGCUUUGUAAGUUAGAGGUGAAAGCCCGG